AGGUUUAAGUUAACCGUUAAACCCAGAGCCUUCAAAGCUCUAAAUAGAGUGCUUUACCCUAGCCUCCG
rnacentral:tRNA from 1 species